GAUUUAUUUACAAAAUAGCAUAUACAAAGUAAGAACAAUUAAGGAUGAAGCUAGUUGAUAUUGAUAAUUUUUCUGGUAAUAAAACUACUAUUG